rnacentral:rRNA from 1 species
AUUGAACGCUGGCGGCAUGCCUUACACAUGCAAGUCGAACGGCAGCACGGGGCAACCUGGUGGCGAGUGGCGAACGGGUGAGUAAUGCAUCGGAACGUACCUUUCAGUGGGGGAUAACGUAGCGAAAGUUACGCUAAUACCGCAUAUUCUGUGAGCAGGAAAGCAGGGGAUCGCAAGACCUUGCGCUGAUUGAGCGGCCGAUGUCAGAUUAGCUAGUUGGUGAGGUAAAGGCUCACCAAGGCGACGAUCUGUAGGGGGUCUGAGAGGAUGAUCCGCCACACUGGAACGGAGACACGGAGCAGACGCCAACGGGAGGCAGCAGUGGGGAAUUUUGGAAAAUGGGGGCAACCCUGAUCCAGCCAUGCGGCGUGGGUGAAGAAGGCCUUCGGGUUGUAAAGCUCUUUCGGCCGGGAAGAAAUCGCACGGGCUAAUACCCUGUGUGGAUGACGGUACCGGAAUAAGAAGCACCGGCUAACUACGUGCCAGCCGCCGCGGUAACAC